rnacentral:rRNA from 1 species
UCGAGAAUUUUUCACAAUGGGCGCAAGCCUGAUGGAGCGACGCCGCGUGGGGGAUGAAUGGCUUCGGCCCGUAAACCCCUGUCAUUCGCGAUCCAAACCUGCGACCUAACAUGUCGCAGGCUGAUAGUAGCGGCAGAGGACGGGACGGCUAACUCUGUACCAGCAGCCGCGGUAAUACAGAGGUCCCAAGCGUUGUUCGGAUUCACUGGGCGUAAAGGGUGCGUAGGUGGCGAGGUAAGUCGGAUGUGAAAUCUCCAAGCUCAACUUGGAAAAUGCAUUGGAAACUACCUUGCGCGAGGUUUGGAGGGGGGACUGGAAUACUUGGUGUAGCAGUGAAAUGCGUAGAUAUCAAGUGGAACACCAGUGGCGAAAGCGAGUCUCUGGACAAAUCCUGACACUGAGGCACGAAAGCUAGGGGAGCAAACA